AUGAACAGGCUCAAGUCCUAGCUAUGGUGCAGAGCAGUGUUGUAUGUCUGACAGUCCCCAGGGCCUGCCCCGCUUCCUUUUCCCCUGAGUCCCCCGUGACUCCCCCUCCCCACCAGGGCAAUGAAGGAAUGUAGGUGGAAUCCGCCCAGGCUGGGGCUCUACCAGGGAUAACAGAAUUCACAGCCUGAACUAGUGGCUCAGAAAGACAAAAGUGAGGAAGACAGGUGGGCGGUGGAGGAGGGUGUGAGGGGGGAGAGGAUCAAGGAAGCCGGAAGGAACAACUCAACAGCCUGACCUUCUUCAGCUGCAUGAAAAUAAUUCCAGAUUUGAAAAGAGCUUUGGCUCUGGAAACCAAGCCUCAGAAGUUUGGUGGUUUGGACAAAAUCACUGAAGAAAUUAAGAGAAAAAGAUGGAACUAAAAUUCAGGUGUUAUGACUUUCUCGUUAGUGAUUUUAUGAAAUUUUGCCACGAGUCUGUAUUUUGCUUUCAUAUAUUGGGAAAAUCUCUUUGUGGAAAAUAGUAUUUCAAGUAGAAAUAUGAUUGACACAAUAGUUCCAUUUGUAUAACUUAUUUAUAAGACCAGAAUCCCCCUCUCUGGAGACUUAGAAAGAAAGUUAUCUUUUGGGUAUGACUUAAAAGAAGGCCUCCCUAUCCUGAAGCAAGGGCAUGUCUAAAAUGUUUUUAAUCAUGACCCAUAAUCCUGGAAUUCUGUUCAUGGUGUCUUGUCUUCAUAAUGAUAAAGAAAACAGAAGAGAGCAUAGCACUCAGCUAUUCUUAUUAUCUCUAUUUACCCAGGCAAAGCAUUGACCUUCGACUGUUUCCCAUUCUUAUUGCCUCCACCAGUUUGUUGCAUAUUCUUAAUGUUGUUGCAUAAAUGAGUCUAAUUAAGAACAUAAGUCUCAGACUGCAGAAAAUCACUUAGCUGUUCUCUAUGAACACUGAGUUUAAAGAAAAUAGAACUAAAAUGCAGAGUAGUGUUACAGUAUCUCUCCUCUCUCUGUCUCUCUCUCUCUGUCUGUCUGUCUCUCUCUCGCUCUCUCUCUCUCUCUCUCACCCUCCCUCCAUCCCUCUACUUUUCUACCAUAAUGAUUCUCUUGAUUCAGUAUUCCUAACCAGAAUCUUGCCUGCUGGAUUUUCAUCUCAAUUCAUUCUUUUUCCAUAACCUUUUCCUAUGCCUUACAAAUAAUGUGAAACAGACAUCUUCUAAAAGUUACUUCUGCUUUGUGUAGUAAAUUAUUUCCAGAAGCAAAAUCUUCUCUUUUGUUCUGCAGGAUUUUCCCCCUCAGGUCUCAUGUUGGUCCAUCCAUCCAUCCAUUCAUCUUAAAUAACAGUUUAUCAAGAGCAGAUCUAUUCAGACCAAGUGUUAGCCAGCACAUAGGGAACAUGCUUUACACUUUGCACCCACCUCCCUUACUAUCCAAGCUAAAGGAUUGGGAGCUUGUUCAGUUUUCAGCAGAAUGCACAUGCUAGGCUUUCCAUAAAUGCAAAAUUUGUGGGUAUAUACUAUAGAUAUCAUCCUAUUCUCGAGGUAUAUACAGCUGAAAGGGGUUUUAAAAAGAAAGUCACUCCCUGUCUCUCUCUCUCUAGGAGAAUGAUGUAUUACGAAAAUCAUAAAACAAUUUGAAAAAGUGCAUAAUAAGCAAUUAGAUAUUAAAACAGAGAGUUACAGGCCUACAAGGCUAUGCACAUUUGGAGAAGGUUUGCAUUGAUCAAAGACAGCUCAUUAAAGAAUCAAGUUAGGGCUGGCCGAGUGGUACGUUGGUUAAGAGCUGGCCAGAGGGUCCCGGUUCAGAUCCC